ensembl:lncRNA
UCUCAAGCCUAGAGAAGAAGCUAAUUGGAGGAAUACUGAACUCAGUAGCUGAAAAUAUGUUUGGUGAGUCAGAAAGAUAGUGGCUUGCUGUUCUAGUAUGGGAACUAGACUCAGGGAUCUUGACAUUCAAUCCUUCCUUUGAGCUUUUCCAUGACCUGGAAAAAAAUGCAGAUGGUUCUUUCCAUCACGUCUAUUGGAAUUGCCUUGAAUUACCUCCUUGCUGGAUCAAGUCCAUUACGAAAUGAUCAUCAUGUGAUCUUGUACAAUGUUCCCUUGGUUCUUCUUACUUUAUUUAGCAUCAGUUCAUUAGUAGUAGUAGAAGAAAAAGAAGGAGGAGAAGGAAGAAGAGGAGGAGGAAGAAAAAAGAAGGAAGAAGAAAAAAGAAGAAAGAAGGUAGAAGAAGAUGAAGAAGAAGAAAGAAGAAAGAAGAAGAAGAAGAAGAAGAAGAAGAAGAAGAAGAAGAAGAAGAAGAAGAAGAAGAAGAAUUAUCAUGCAUGGAGCAGCUCAUAGCAUUUUGAUGUCAUAGUUUGUGCUGCUAUGGGAUUCACAUGCACCAGAAAAAAAACCUUUCUCUCAGAUGGCUUAUCUGAAUUACACUAGUCAAGCUAUUCCUAAAAAAGAGGACCUAGUGAUGAGCAUGAAUCCAAACUAGGGAAAUGAUUAAUGGCAUUCUGAUCAUACAGUUCAAUUGUAAUGACAUCAGCCUCUCACCCAUUCGAGAGUAUCCAAUGGCCAAAAAUACAAAAGUUUCUUUGUAAAUGGUUUUAUUUCACUGAUAUUUACUCAGGGAGUACAUCCAGAUUAAGUUCCAUACUAAGGUCAAUAAAACAGAAUUAUAUGUUUAGAAAAACUAUCUCCAUUCAAAACCGAUAUUCACAAUCAUAGAAAAUAUUAGGUACAGCAUGACAUAGAGGACACAGCUGGCAUUGAAGGGAGAAAAGAUAGGUUCUAAUUCAGAUUCUGAUACAUAUUUGUUAUGUUACCCUGUGGAAGUCACUUUUCAUCGUGUCCUAGACGACUAAGACUGUCAACUACAGAAGAAGUAUAGACAAACAUUAAUAGUUUCCUCACCUGGGAGUUCCCUAAAUAAAUAAAAAGUUCAACCAUUCUUCCUGUCUCUUCUAUGUCCAAAGUGAGGUUGUUUGGUAAAGAGAUGACAGAAUUUUAAUAGUAUUUUAUUUUUCCAAAUACAUGGAAGGAUAAUUUUCAACAUUCAUUUUUGUAAGACUUUGUGUUCUAAAUUUUUUCUCCUCUCCUUUAUUUCACCCUCUCCAAGACAGCAAUCUGAAAUAAGUUAUACAAGUACAAUCUGUAAAUAUAUUUCUGUAGUGGUUAUAUUGUGAAAAAAAAUCAUACCGAAAGGGAAAAACAAAAAAGAAAAGCAAACAAAGAAAAAAGGUGAAAAUAUUUUGUUUCAAUCCUCAGUCUCCAUAGUUCUUUCUCUGGAGAAUAUGACAUUUUCCACUUCAAGUGUAUUGGAAUUGUCUUUGAUCAUUGUAUUGCUGAGAAGAGCUAAGUCUUUCUUGAUUGAUCAUCAUAUAAUCUUGCUGUUAUUAUGUACAAUGUUCUCCUGGUUCUGUUUACUUCAUUUAGCAUCAGUUUGUGUCUUUUCAGACUUUUCUGAAAUCAGCCUCUCCUCAUUUCUUAAAGAACAAUAAUACUUCUUUAUAUACAUAUACCAUAAGUUAUUCCCCUAUUGAGGGACAUCCAUUCAAUUUCCAAUUCUUUGUCACUACAAAUAGAAUUGCUACAAACAUUUUUGCACAUGUGGUCUUUCUUAAGAAGUGAGAAGAUUGACUUCAGAAUCAGGAAGACGUGAAUUCAAGUCUAGUGUCUGACAUAGCCUCUGCCAGUAUGACUUUGUGCAAUUUCAGCAGAUGUUUGAUGUCUAGCGCAAUUGUCUAUUAAUUUAAAUUGAAGAAGAGUUUCUAUGAGCAUUUAUUAUUUCAUUUAUUUUGUUUAAAUUCCCAGUAAAUAGAACAAGGCUUGGUAAAUGUUAAGCACUUAAUAUGUGCUUUUCUAACUGAUUUCAUUGAUAGGAGUUUCUUAUUUAGGAAUUCUCAGCACCAAAUAAGUUCAGAUUUUUUUAAUUGCAAAGUAUAUGAGCUUAAUUUGACACCACUGACCCUUUCAUAGCCUUGUGUUUCAGAUUUUCUCCUCCUUCCCCCACUCCAUCCCUUAGAUGGCAAGCCAUCCAGCAUAUGUUAAACAUGUGAAAAUAUAUGUCAAAUCCAGUAUCUAUAAACAUGUGUAUACAAUUCUCUUGCUGAACAAGAAAAAUCAGGUCAAAAAAAGAAAAUGAGUAAGAAAACAAAAUACAAGCAAAUAAUAAUAAGAGUGAGAAUGUUAUGUUGUGAUCCACACUCACUUCCCACAGUUCUCUUUCUGGGUGUAGCUGGCUCUCUUCAUCACAAGGUCAUUGGAACUGGCAUCAAUCAUCUUAUUUUUGGAAAGAGUCAUGUUCAUCAAAAUUGAUCAUCAUAUAAUAUUGUGUUGUGUACAAUAAUCUCCUGGUUCUGUUCAUUUCACUUAGCAUCAGUUCAUAUAAAUUGCAUGUGUAAGAUGACAGGAAAAAAUAAUGAUGAUUGUUGGAGGGGAUGUGGGAAAACUGGG